rnacentral:misc_RNA from 1 species
UGGUGGUAGUCUGAAGGCAAAGUGGAAGGUUCACGAGUCGGUCUAUGCCCAGACUAUGUGUGGCACGUACAUGACGCUGACGAGUAUUUGUAAGUCGCCCUYCGAGUGGGGAUGUUGUUGGGGAUUUUUCCUCAUCRAGAAUCGAGAACCGCGACAACGUAUGGUGUCGAGCCCGGACACCAGUAUUACGGAGACAUACUUGGUAUGCGAYCAGGGCAGGUUGGUUAAUGUUGAUCUUGCUUGUCGGUUUUUAUGUGAUUGCUUGUUGCCAAAUCUYGUCCAGCGAUUUGACUCUAYGACGUUGUGACUYAGGUGGGGGAUGACGCAUUUUUUGUUGAUCCUGCUUGCUGGUCGAUGUUGUGGCUGAUUGUUGCCUAGACGGAUUAGUGACUUGUUCUUGCAACAUGGUUCCUUGGUGAGAGAUGACGCGUGCCAGAUUAGUUGAUCUUGCAAGCYGAUCUUGCUUYGGUUUUGUGGAUUUGGGUUAAUCGUUCCAAAACAAGGCUAGUGASUUGUCCYUUUGAAGACGUGGCAACGGCAUGGUUCCUUAUUGGGAGAUGAUGCGUGCUGGAUUGUUUGAUCUUGCAAGCUGAUCCUGCUUYGGUUUUGUCGAUGAGGGUUACUCGUUGCAAAGCUUUGCUAGCGACUUGUCACCCUUUGAAGACAUGCUUGAGACACGGUGGCCUUGGUGGGAGAUGACGUGCGCUGGAUCUUUGAUCUYGCGUGCUGAUCUCGCCUUGGWCCUUAUUGAUCUGGGUUACUUGUUGCUUGGCUUUGUUAUUGGACGUGUCCCAUUGAAGACAUGGUGACCCUUGUGGGAAAUGAUGCAUGUUGGACCCGAAGAUGCUGGUUGCCUAUAUCUUGUUGCUUGUUGAUCGAUGUGGUCAUGGUUGAUACAUUUGCCRUGAGUACAUGGUGAYGCUUGCAAGAUUCGAGUUAUGACGGUUGUUUUUUCAUUUAGUGUUUKUUUUCGCAUCGUUCGGUGCUUUCUGGGGCYGUUUUGGUUAUUGGUUGCCCGCUAGGCCUYUGUGCUUGGUGSGUGGCUUCUAGUCAUGCGGCUUYGAGGAUGUCUACCGUAAAGGUGCAUGAGUGGUGUUUGGUUUGUUACGGGUGGUUGGCUGUCUGCAUUUGCAACAACGUCCACCUGUUCUUACCUCUUCAGUUGUAUGACAAGGCUUGUAAUGCCUUGAGCGUAUUGUGGGUUUUCUGUGUUGCAUACCUGUAAAACGGUAAUGUUUGGACCAAUUGAGUUGUUGUUUCAUCUUGUGCCGCAGYAGUGGCACGAGGUGAACCAUGAAGCGGUCUCUUUGAUCCACCAUGUCGAUGCACAUGCUUUGAUGUUGUGGCCCAUUGAGCGUUGCUUGGUAUCUUGUGUACGGAACAUAAAGUGGGCAUGAGGUCUUUCGAGACCUUUGUUUGUCCUCGUUUAGCGUUCUYGCUUCUCUAAAACGAUUGCUUGCCGUGUGUGGGCUUGUCCUUAUGCGGYYGGUAUGUCGAAGAGGAAUGC